rnacentral:rRNA from 1 species
AGUGAACGCUGGCGGUAGGCCUAACACAUGCAAGUCGAACGGCAGCACAGUAAGAUCUUGCUCUUACGGGUGGCGAGUGGCGGACGGGUGAGGAAUACAUCGGAAUCUACUUUUUCGUGGGGGAUAACGUAGGGAAACUUACGCUAAUACCGCAUACGACCUACGGGUGAAAUCAGGGGAUCUUCGGACCUUGCGCGAUUGAAUGAGCCGAUGUCGGAUUAGCUAGUUGGCGGGGUAAAGGCCCACCAAGGCGACGAUCCGUAGCUGGUCUGAGAGGAUGAUCAGACACACUGGAACUGAGACACGGUCCAGACUCCUACGGGAGGCAGCAGUGGGGAAUAUUGGACAAUGGGCGCAAGCCUGAUCCAGCAAUACCGCGUGGGUGAAGAAGGCCUUCGGGUUGUAAAGCCCUUUUGUUGGGAAAGAAAAGCAGCAGGUUAAUACCCAGCUGUUCUGACGGUACCCAAAGAAUAAGCACCGGCUAACUUCGUG